GUGUAUAUAUACAUAUAUAUGUGUGUGUGUGUAUAUAUAUACACACACACACAUAUAUAUGUAUAUAUGUGUA
rnacentral:pre_miRNA from 1 species